rnacentral:snoRNA from 1 species
UUCAAGGAUGACAUAAUUUGCGACUGAUGGCCGGUGCUGGAGUUUCACGCCUGAUUCUCAUAACAGUCCGGUCAAUCUGAUCUUCCUCUUCUUACAUAUUCUGACC